AUAUUUAUAAUAUCGUGCGGAAAUCCAGGACUAUAAAACCGUGUUGCUUCGUUGCGAUUUUUUAUUUGCAUGCAAGCGUCAAGUCCAUCGGAGAGAUCAAUAUCGUUCAUCUUAGCGCCCUUUCUGUUGAAUAAAUUGGGAAAAGCCUAGCUUCUUCUCACCACAUACAAUGGAGGGCUGGUAGAUCGGAUAUCC
rnacentral:snoRNA from 1 species